rnacentral:tRNA from 1 species
GCGUUUGUAGUCCAACGGUUAGGAUAAUUGCCUUCCAAGCAAUAGACCCGGGUUCGACUCCCGGCAAACGCACUUCUUUUUUUCUUCUGAAAUUACAACUUUAAAAUUUUAUUUUGAAGUCACAAAAUUAACAGCUGAAAUUAAAGUUGAAUCUUUUCGUUUGCCGCGAUGUUGAAUAAAGUUCAAUGAAUCAUAAUUUUCUUGAUUUAUUGAUAUGACCGGAACGGCAAACGGGUACAUGCACUAAUCGACUUUUGUUCUGGUUAUUGAGUGUUAUGUACCUUUUGUCUAAGGCUUGAUGCAAAACUACAAUUGAGUCAGCAGUCUCUCUAUUCCUACGGGGUAGAGGUAACACUGUCUACAUCCUACCUUCCUCAGACCCGACCUUAGCAUAUCUUCAUCUCUUUUUGCAAACAAUUUUAUCCUCUAACAGCAACAAAAACAACACCAGCGUCUGUAGUCCAACGGUUAGGAUAAUUGCCUUCCAAGCAAUAGACCCGGUUUCGACUCCCGGCAAACGCA